rnacentral:rRNA from 1 species
UACGGAGGGUGCGAGCGUUGUCCGGAAUCAUUGGGCGUAAAGGGCGCGUAGGUGGCCUGCUAAGCGUGCGGUGAAAGCUCGGGGCUCAACCCCGAGUCGGCCGUGCGAACUGGUGGGCUUGAGCACUGUAGAGGCAGGCGGAAUUCCGGGUGUAGCGGUGGAAUGCGUAGAGAUCAGGAAGAACAUCGGUGGCGAAGGCGCUCUGCUGGACCAUAACUGACACUCAGGGACGAAAGCUAGGGGAGCGAAUGGG